GACGAACGCUGGCGGCGUGCUUAACACAUGCAAGUCGAACGGAAAGGCACUGCUUUUGUGGGGUGCUCGAGUGGCGAACGGGGGAGUAACACGUGAGUAACCUGCCCUUGACUUUGGGAUAACUUCAGGAAACUGGGGCUAAUACCGGAUAGGAGCCCCUGCUGCAUGGUGGGGGUUGGAAAGUUUGGGCGGUUGGGGAUGAACUCGCGGCUUAUGAGCUUGUUGGUGGGGUAGUGGCUUACCAAGGCAUUGACUGGUAGCCGGCCCGAGAGGGUGACCGGCCACCAUGGGACUGAGAGACGGACCAGACUGCAACGGGAGGCAGCAGUGGGGAAUAUUGCACAGUGGGCGGAAGCCUGAUGAGGCGGCGCCGCGUGCGGGAUGACGGCCUUUGGGUUGUAAACCGCUUUCGCCUGUGACGAAGCGUGAGUGACGGUAAUGGGUAAAGAAGCACCGGCUAACUACGUG
rnacentral:rRNA from 1 species